UGGCUCAGAGUGAACGCUGGCGGCAGGCCUAAUACAUGCAAGUCGAACGGCAGCACAGCAGAGCUUGCUCUGUGGGUGGCGAGUGGCGGACGGGUGAGGAAUACAUGGGAAUCUGCCCAGUCGUGGGGAUAACGUAGGGAAACUUACGCUAAUACCGCAUGCGCCCUUCGGGGGAAAGCCGGGGACCUUCGGGCCUGGCGCGAUUGGAUGAGCCCAUGUCGGAUUAGCUAGUUGGCGGGGUAAUGGCCCACCAAGGCGACGAUCCGUAGCUGGUCUGAGAGGAUGAUCAGCCACACUGGAACUGAGACACGGUCCAGACUCCUACGGGAGGCAGCAGUAGGGAAUAUUGGACAAUGGGCGCAAGCCUGAUCCAGCCAUGCCGCGUGAGUGAAGAAGGCCCUCGGGUUGUAAAGCUCUUUUGUCCGGAAAGAAAAGCGCCGGGUUAAUACCCUGGUGUCCUGACGGUACCGGAAGAAUAAGCACCGGCUAACUUCGUG
rnacentral:rRNA from 1 species